UAUCCUCCCGCGCUGGAUGGUCCCGCGGCGCGACAUGCGUGCGCGGGCUAAGAGGGAAUGCGAAGGGCCGACUUAAACCAAGGGCCCGGAUCGCAGCCGACCCCGCGACUGUAGAGCGGCGAGGUUUCUUCACCGGCGGUCUUUCCGCCGGAAACGCCACUGGGCCUCGCGGCCCGGGAAGGCAGGAGAGGACCCGUGACCCGCGAGCCAGGAGACCUGCCAUCCCUUGCGAAGGCGG
rnacentral:ncRNA from 2 species